CUUGAUGGUAGCUGUACGCAGGGCGCUUUCGGGCGCGCCGGUUCGCGUCUCCCCGGUCUACUAACCUGCGUUCAGCUGCCACCCCA
rnacentral:antisense_RNA from 1 species